rnacentral:rRNA from 1 species
GUGGCAGACGGGUGAGUAACGCGUGGGAACCUUCCCAAUAGUACGGAAUAACUCCGGGAAACCGGUGCUAAUACCGUAUACGCCCUUAGGGGGAAAGAUUUAUCGCUAUUGGAUGGGCCCGCGUCGGAUUAGCUUGUUGGUGAGGUAAUGGCUCACCAAGGCUACGAUCCGUAGCUGGUCUGAGAGGAUGAUUAGCCACACUGGGACUGAGACACGGCCCAGACUCCUACGGGAGGCAGCAGUAGGGAAUCUUGGACAAUGGGCGAAAGCCUGAUCCAGCCAUGCCGCGUGAGUGAAGAAGGCCUUAGGGUUGUAAAGCUCUUUUAGCGGGGACGAUAAUGACGGUACCCGCAGAAUAAGCCCCGGCUAACUUCGUGCCAGCAGCCGCGGUAAUACGGAGGAUGCAAGCGUUAUCCGGAAUGAUUGGGCGUAAAGCGUCCGCAGGUGGUUGCUCAAGUCUGCUGUCAAAGAGUCUGGCUCAACCAGAUAAAGGCAGUGGAAACUGAGAGACUAGAGUGCGGUAGGGGCAGAGGGAAUUCCUGGUGUAGCGGUGAAAUGUGUAGAGAUCAGGAAGAACACCGGUGGCGAAAGCGCUCUGCUGGACCGCAACUGACACUGAGGGACGAAAGCUAGGGGAGCGAAUGGGAUUAGAUACCCCAGUAGUCCUAGCCGUAAACGAUGGAUACUAGGCGUUGCCCGUAUCGACCCGGGCAGUGUCGUAGCCAACGCGUUAAGUAUCCCGCCUGGGGAGUACGCACGCAAGUGUGAAACUCAAAGGAAUUGACGGGG